rnacentral:rRNA from 1 species
UACGGGGGGAGCAAGCGUUGUUCGGAUUUACUGGGCGUAAAGGGCCAGUAGGCGGCCAACUAAGUCGGAUGUGAAAUCCCCAGGCUCAACUUGGGAACUGCAUCCGAUACUGGAUGGCUUGAAUUCGGGAGAGGGAUGCAGAAUUCCAGGUGUAGCGGUGAAAUGCGUAGAUAUCUGGAGGAAUACCGGUGGCGAAGGCGGCAUCCUGGACCGACAUUGACGCUGAACGGCGAAAGCUAGGGGAGCAAACGGG